AACGUAGGACACGAGCGUUAUCCGGAGUUACUGGGCGUAAAGGGUAGGCAGGCGGCAAGAGAAGUUGGGUGUGAAAUCUCCUGGCUUAACCAGGAGGGUGCAUCCGAAACUCUCUAGCUAGAGGGCGACAGAGGUGCGUGGAAUUCCGGGUGGAGUGGUGAAAUGCGUAGAGAUCCGGAGGAACACCAGAGGCGAAAGCGGCGCACUGGGUCGAACCUGACGCUGAACUACGAAAGCCAGGGGAGCGAACGGG
rnacentral:rRNA from 1 species